GAGUUUGAUCAUGGCUCAGAUUGAACGCUGGCGGCAGGCCUAACACAUGCAAGUCGAGCGGCAGCACGGGGAGCUUGCUCCCUGGUGGCGAGCGGCGGACGGGUGAGUAAUGCAUGGGAAUCUGCCCGGUAGUGGGGGAUAACCCGGGGAAACCCGGGCUAAUACCGCAUACGUCCUACGGGAGAAAGCAGGGGAUCUUAGGACCUUGCGCUAUCGGAUGAGCCCAUGUCGGAUUAGCUUGCUGGUGAGGUAACGGCUCACCAGGGCGACGAUCCGUAGCUGGUCUGAGAGGAUGAUCAGCCACACCGGGACUGAGACACGGCCCGGACUCCUACGGGAGGCAGCAGUGGGGAAUAUUGGACAAUGGGGGAAACCCUGAUCCAGCCAUGCCGCGUGUGUGAAGAAGGCUUUCGGGUUGUAAAGCACUUUCAGCGGGGAAGAAGGCAUGGCGGCUAAUACCCGCCAUGAAGGACAUCACCCGCAGAAGAAGCACCGGCUAACUCCGUGCCAGCAGCCGCGGUAAUACGGAGGGUGCAAGCGUUAAUCGGAAUUACUGGGCGUAAAGGGCGCGUAGGCGGCCUGCCAAGCCGGAUGUGAAAGCCCCGGGCUCAACCCGGGAACGGCAUUCGGAACUGGCAGGCUAGAGUGCAGGAGAGGAAGGUGGAAUUCCCGGUGUAGCGGUGAAAUGCGUAGAGAUCGGGAGGAAUACCAGUGGCGAAGGCGGCCUUCUGGACUGACACUGACGCUGAGGCGCGAAAGCGUGGGUAGCAAACAGGAUUAGAUACCCUGGUAGUCCACGCCGUAAACGAUGUCGACCAGCCGUUGGACCCCCUGAGGGUCUGGUGGCGCAGUUAA
rnacentral:rRNA from 1 species